AUUCACCUCUGGAAGUCAUUGGUUCUGUGACAUCAGAUGUUCCGGAGAACUCUGAGCUCAAGGCACUCGUGGGAAGGUAGUGUGGUGUAUGGGUUCAAGCCAGGGUGACAACUGUGUACCCCCUGGCAUGGUACCCACCUGACUGAGACUCAGAUUGUCCCCACGUCAAAUAAGGACAACAUUCUCUACAAUCAAAUGUGACGUUGGUCUCAACCUUUCUGUAACUCCAAAAGCCUGGUGGGAAAGAAAGGAGGCGACGACCCCAGCCAACCUCAAGAAGUUAAGGUGGAAGUGAAAUGCAGAGCUUUCUGAAAAAGUCCCUUAUGAGGAGAAUAAAGAAUUCUGCUGCCAAACAAGUUGAAGAGAUAGAAUUUGUUUAUCACGGUGGAGGCUUCAAGAUCACACAUCUCCAUUAGAGUCACGUGCGUCUUAAAUACCCACCAUUAUCAAGAGAAAAAUUAAGCCAAGUGUCUGAUAAGAAGAUGUGCUACACAGUCCAACAAUCUUCCGUGUUGUCAAGACGUCAGACGCAGGCAGCAAAAACAACUGAAUGAAAUAAUUGAAUUCCCACCAUGGACGAAAGAGGGCUUCGAAGUUGGAGCAAAAGUAUUUGUGGAGUGCGGGGAGAACCCAGAGCUUCUGGUA